GAGUUUGAUCCUGGCUCAUGACGAACGCUGGCGGCGUGCUUAACACAUGCAAGUCGAACGGUAAGGCCCCAGCUUGCUGGGGUACACGAGUGGCGAACGGGUGAGUAACACGUGGGUGACCUGCCCCGCACUUCGGGAUAAGCCUGGGAAACUGGGUCUAAUACCGGAUAGGACCGCACCGUGAGGGUGUGGUGGAAAGUUUUUCGGUGUGGGAUGGGCCCGCGGCCUAUCAGCUUGUUGGUGGGGUAAUGGCCUACCAAGGCGGCGACGGGUAGCCGGCCUGAGAGGGUGGACGGCCACAUUGGGACUGAGACACGGCCCAGACUCCUACGGGAGGCAGCAGUGGGGAAUAUUGCACAAUGGGCGGAAGCCUGAUGCAGCGACGCCGCGUGGGGGAUGACGGCCUUCGGGUUGUAAACUCCUUUCACCAUCGACGAAGGUUUUCUGACGGUAGAUGGAGAAGAAGCACCGGCUAACUACGUGCCAGCAGCCGCGGUAAUACGUAGGGUGCGAGCGUUGUCCGGAAUUACUGGGCGUAAAGAGCUCGUANGUGGUUUGUCGCGUCGUCUGUGAAAUUCCGGGGCUUAACUCCGGGCGUGCAGGCGAUACGGGCAUAACUUGAGUACUGUAGGGGAGACUGGAAUUCCUGGUGUAGCGGUGAAAUGCGCAGAUAUCAGGAGGACCACCGGUGGCGAAGGCGGGUCUCUGGGCAGUAACUGACGCUGAGGAGCGAAAGCAUGGGUAGCGAACAGGAUUAGAUACCCUGGUAGUCCAUGCCGUAAACGGUGGGCGCUAGGUGUAGGGGUCUUCCACGACUUCUGUGCCGUAGCUAACGCAUUAAGCGCCCCGCCUGGGGAGUACGGCCGCAAGGCUAAAACUCAAAGGAAUUGACGGGGGCCCGCACAAGCGGCGGAGCAUGUGGAUUAAUUCGAUGCAACGCGAAGAACCUUACCUGGGCUUGACAUAUACGGGAUCGCCGCAGAGAUGUGGUUUCCCUUGUGGCUCGUAUACAGGUGGUGCAUGGUUGUCGUCAGCUCGUGUCGUGAGAUGUUGGGUUAAGUCCCGCAACGAGCGCAACCCUUGUCUUAUGUUGCCAGCACGUUAUGGUGGGGACUCGUGAGAAACUGCCGGGGUCAACUCGGAGGAAGGUGGGGAUGACGUCAAAUCAUCAUGCCCCUUAUGUCCAGGGCUUCACACAUGCUACAAUGGUCGGUACAGUGGGUUGCGAUGCCGUGAGGCGGAGCUAAUCCCUUAAAGCCGGUCUCAGUUCGGAUCGGGGUCUGCAACUCGACCCCGUGAAGUCGGAGUCGCUAGUAAUCGCAGAUCAGCAACGCUGCGGAGAAUACGUUGCCGGGCCUUGUACACACCGCCCGUCA
rnacentral:rRNA from 1 species